rnacentral:rRNA from 1 species
GACGAACGCUGGCGGCGUGCCUAAUACAUGCAAGUCGAGCGAAUCUUUAGGAGCUUGCUCCUGAAGGUUAGCGGCGGACGGGUGAGUAACACGUGGGCAACCUGCCUGUAAGACUGGGAUAACACCGGGAAACCGGUGCUAAUACCGGAUAAUUCUUUCCCUCACAUGAGGGAAAGCUGAAAGUGGGUUUCGGCUGACACUUACAGAUGGGCCCGCGGCGCAUUAGCUAGUUGGUGAGGUAACGGCUCACCAAGGCGACGAUGCGUAGCCGACCUGAGAGGGUGAUCGGCCACACUGGGACUGAGACACGGCCCAGACUCCUACGGGAGGCAGCAGUAGGGAAUCUUCCGCAAUGGACGAAAGUCUGACGGAGCAACGCCGCGUGAGUGAUGAAGGCUUUCGGGUCGUAAAACUCUGUUGUUAGGGAAGAACAAGUACGAGAGUAACUGCUCGUACCUUGACGGUACCUAACCAGAAAGCCACGGCUAACUACGUGCCAGCAGCCGCCGUAACAC